UUCGGAUUGCAGGCUGCAACCCGCCUGUAUGAAGUUGGAAUCGCUAGUAAUCGCGGAUCAGCAUGCCGCGGUGAAUACGUUCCCGGGCCUUGUACACACCGCCCGUCACACCAUGAGAGUUGGCAACACCCGAAGUCGGUAGUCUAACCGCAAGGAGGACGCCGCCGAAGGUGGGGUUGAUGAUUAGGGUUAAGUCGUAACAAGGUAGC
rnacentral:rRNA from 1 species